AGCAGGAUCAAUAUCGACUUAAUUAUCUUAUUCUUGUCCACAUAAUUGUGCUACUACUAUAUAUUAUGAUGUGGAAAACAAAUCUCUUUCAUUAACGUCACUUCACCUUGGAGCAGUCAACAGAGGGGCUGAUCUCAAAAGGAAUCUUGACACCACAAACUCCAGAAAGACCAGCAGCUUUACCAAAAUCAAUGCCUUUAAUAGUAUUAGCAGCUUUUUUGACACACUUACAUGAUUUUCUACGUUCAUGUGGUGUCUUACAAAGCUUAAGCAAAUCUUUAAUGACACCA
rnacentral:misc_RNA from 1 species